rnacentral:rRNA from 1 species
UACGAAGGGGGCUAGCGUUGUUCGGAAUUACUGGGCGUAAAGCGCACGUAGGCGGACUACUAAGUCAGGGGUGAAAUCCCGGGGCUCAACCCCGGAACUGCCUUUGAUACUGAUAGUCUCGAGUCCGGAAGAGGUGAGUGGAAUUCCGAGUGUAGAGGUGAAAUUCGUAGAUAUUGGGAAGAACACCGGUGGCGAAGGCGGCCUGCUGGGCAGUUUUGCUGACACUGAGGCGCGACAGCGUGGGGAGCAAACAGG